CAUAUUCAAUUUUUUUGUGAAAGUAUGCGAAACAAAAGGAUGCGAAGCACCAGUAUCAAUUAAAAUAUGUGUAAGGUGAUUACAGAUAGUAUACGUACCCUGUAUCACUUUCGGGUUGUCUUCAGCAUCCUAUUGGGUGAUGGUGUAUGCUCUACCCUAGAUUGGAGGUCUGACCUGAAUCUGAUUCUGUGGGUACUCUCUCGCGUAAUGUUGAACACUUCCAUAUAUACGGCUGGUAUUGUUGAGGUGAUAGUAGGGUCGGUCCCCAUGAUUCUUGUCACAGUGUUAGCAAGUCCUGCUGAAUCUUAUUAUCGGGGCUUGAGGAGGAGCUUGAGUCGUAGGCCUAGGUCUC
rnacentral:lncRNA from 1 species